rnacentral:rRNA from 1 species
GCUUGUCUCAAAGAUUAAGCCAUGCAUGUCUUAGUGUAAAUAACUCUUAUGAAACUGCGAAUGGCUCAUUAAAUCAGUUAUCAAAUACGUGAUGGUCGCCUACUACAUGGAUAACCGUAGUAAUUCUAGAGCUAAUACAUGCGUCAAGCCCCGACUCACGAAGGGGUGUAUUUAUUAGAUUCAAACCGGCCUCGUUCUGGUGAUUCAUAAUAAUUGGUCGAACCGCAUGCCCUUGUGGUGGCGGUGAUUCAUCCUUAUUUCUGCCCUAUCAACUUGGCUACCACAUCCAAGGAAGGCAGCAGG